rnacentral:rRNA from 1 species
ACAAUGGAGAGUUUGAUCCUGGCUCAGGAUGAACGCUAGCGGCAGGCUUAACACAUGCAAGUCGAGGGGCAGCAUGAACAAUAGCAAUAUUGUUUGAUGGCGACCGGCGCACGGGUGCGUAACACGUAUGCAAUCUACCUUGUACUGGGGCACAACUUCGAGAAAUCGGAGCUAAUUCCCCAUAAUUCUAAGAAGUGGCAUCACUUUUUAGUUAAAGCUCAGGCGGUACAAGAUGAGCAUGCGCCCAAUUAGCUAGUUGGUGAGGUAACGGCUCACCAAGGCUACGAUUGGUAGGGGGUCUGAGAGGAUGAUCCCCCACACUGGUACUGAGACACGGACCAGACUCCUACGGGAGGCAGCAGUGAGGAAUAUUGCGCAAUGGAGGCAACUCUGACGCAGCCAUGCCGCGUGAAGGAUUGAAGGUCCUAUGGAUUGUAAACUUCUUUUGUACGGGAAAAAACCCCUGGUCUUGACCGGGGCUGAUGGUACCGUAAGAAUAAGCACCGGCUAACUCCGUGCCAGCAGCCGCGGUAAUCCGGAGGAUCCGAGCGUUAUCCGGAUUUACUGGGUUUAAAGGGUGCGUAGGCGGCUCCCUCAGUCAGCGGUGAAAUGUGUCGGCUCAACCGACAACCUGCCGUUGAUACUGGGGAGCUUGAGUUGGGUUGAGGCAGGCGGAAUGUGCGGUGUAGCGGUGAAAUGCUUAGAUAUCGCACAGAACACCUAUUGCGAAGGCAGCUGGCUAAUUUGCAACUGACGCUGAGGGACGAAAGCGUGGGGAUCAAACAGGAUUAGAUACCCUGGUAGUCCACGCCGUAAACGAUGAUAGCUCGCUGUUGGCGAUACACCGCCAGCGGCCAAGCGAAAGCGAUAAGCUAUCCACCUGGGGAGUACGGCCGCAAGGCUGAAACUCAAAGGAAUUGACGGGGGCCCGCACAAGCGGAGGAACAUGUGGUUUAAUUCGAUGAUACGCGAGGAACCUUACCCGGGCUAGAACGCCGAGCGAAUGUGGGGGAAACUUCACAGCCAGCAAUGGCGGUCGGCGAGGUGCUGCAUGGUUGUCGUCAGCUCGUGCCGUGAGGUGUCGGCUUAAGUGCCAUAACGAGCGCAACCCCUAUCGGUAGUUGCCAGCGGGUCAAGCCGGGAACUCUGCCGAAACUGCCAGCGUAAGCUGCGAGGAAGGCGGGGAUGACGUCAAAUCAGCACGGCCCUUACGUCCGGGGCGACACACGUGUUACAAUGGCCGGUACAGAGGGCAGCUACCUGGUGACAGGGUGCGAAUCUCCAAAGCCGGUCUCAGUUCGGAUCGGAGUCUGCAACUCGACUCCGUGAAGCUGGAUUCGCUAGUAAUCGCGCAUCAGCCACGGCGCGGUGAAUACGUUCCCGGGCCUUGUACACACCGCCCGUCAAGCCAUGGGAGCCGAGGGUACCUGAAGAUGGUGACUUUACGGGGAGCUAUCUAAGGUAAAAUCGGUGACUGGGGCUAAGUCGUAACAAGGUAGCCGUACCGGAAGGUGCGGCUGGAAUACCUCCUUU